AUGAACAAUGGAGUCUUUACUGUUCGGUCGGCUUAUCAUCUUCGAAUGGACAUGAAAAAAUGCAAGUCUGGUCGGCCUGAGCCUUCCAGUUCCAUAGACCGGCAUAAGGGUUUUAUUGCGUUGUGGGGUACAAGUACUCCGAACGAAGCGAAGAUCCGUUCAUGGAGGAUGAUCAGGAAUGGGUUAGCGGUUGGCUAUGAACUACACCAGCGUCGGAUUAAACCGGGUGUUUUCUGUAAUGUUUGUGGCAGAGAAGAGACAAUCUUUCACAGGUUCUGGUCGUGUCACCACUCGACUCUUUUUUGGCAGAUGUUGCAAUCUGAGACAGGGGCGGGCAUGGCAUCUCCACCAGCCCCAAUGGAUACCAAUGAGCACUGGCUCGUUGGCUUUUGA
rnacentral:rRNA from 1 species